rnacentral:lncRNA from 1 species
UCAAAGAACAAUUGAAGGUCUUUCAACCAAUAAGGAUCUAUUUAGAUAUGAAAAUAUUAAAAUUCAGUUGAAAAUGUCAGUUCCUAUGGCUUAAUGAUGUAUAAAUAUGAAUUUUAAGCAAAGGUCAAAAUCUAGAACGUCCAAUUAACCUAUGACCUUGACCUCAAUUUCAAGGUCAUAGACUAAACAUCUCAAAUAAAAAGACACUAGUUCCUUA